rnacentral:rRNA from 1 species
UGUUGCUGACCUCAAGGUCGUGCACGCCCGGAGUGCUCUCUCACAUCCAUCUCACCCCUUUGUGCAUCAUCGCGUGGGGCCCUCUCCUUUGGCUUGUUCCGGAAGGGGGGGGGUUCACGUUUUUACACGAACAACCCAUUAAUGCAUGUGUAGAAUGUCUUACUUUUUGCGGUCACACGCAAUCAAUACAACUUUCAACAACGGAUCUCUUGGCUCUCGCAUCGAUGAAAAACGCAGCGAAAUGCGAUACGUAAUGUGAAUUGCAGAAUUCAGUGAAUCAUCGAAUCUUUGAACGCACCUUGCGCCCCUUGGUAUUCCGAGGGGUGCACCCGUUUGAGUGUCGUGAACACCCUCAACCUUCUUGGUUUAUCGACCGGGAAGGCUUGGACUUUGGAGGUUUUUGUUGCUGGCCUCGUUUGAAGCCAGCUCCUCCUAAACGAAUUAGUGGGGUCCGCCGUGCCGACCCUCGACGUGAUAAGUACGCUUCUACGUCUUGGGGUUUCGCACUGUCGCCUGCUUCCAACCGUCUUUGAAUGAAGACAAUCUUAUAGACCUUGACCUCAAAUCGGGUGAGACUACCCGCUGAACUUAAGCAUAUCAAUA